UUCCUCACUCAGUAGCGACCCAUUUGCCCUGCUCUUCCCCGAAACUCUAUGUCUCUAUCCCUUUCCUCCUCUCUCUCUCUCUCUCUCUCUAUGUCCUGAUCGAAACAAAACACAAAACUCUAGAAAACGAUUCUCUCUCUCACUCAGUAGCGACCCAUCCUAAUCGACCCAAACCACAAAACCCUAGAAAACAAAUAGAUUUCUUUGUCGUCAGCUCGGAGGUGGACUGGAUGGAGCUGUGUGGCCAUGCUUCUAGUCGUGGCCAAAGGACGAGCGGCCUAGCGUUGACUCGUCGGAGGAAGGCAAAGAAGAUGGUGGCUCCGGAGAGUCUACCCUGAUGGUUGGAGAUCGAUGACAAAAGAAACAGAGUCCUCCAGAUCCACUUUCUCUCUCCUCCUCUUUCUCGUCUGUGCUUUUCUCUGGUCUAGUACUGUGGUCCUCUUCGGAGCUCUAGCUGUAAUUGAGAUAAGCAAUUAGUUGCGGGAGAGUUCGAACAUGGAGAGGCCCAUGUGGAAGACUUGAUUCAACCUAGUACCAGUGCAAGAGAGUCUGCUCAAGAAGUUGGGAAAAGCAUGUGUGGUGGUACUGCAGACUUUGGUGAUCCUGUGACUUUCAGAUUUGGAGAAGGAAAAUAAUGCUAGGGUGGACCAGCAGAGGCCAAUAGUUGAAAGUAGCGUGGACAGAAAACACGAGUUCUAUUCAUCUAAGCAAAAUGAUGAUUUUGCAGCUUUGGAACAGCACAUUGAAGAUUUGACACAAGAAAAGUUUUCUUUGCAACGAGCACUCGAGGCUUCACGUGCUUUAGCUGAGUCAUUGGCUUCUAAAAAUUCUUCUUUGAUAGAGACUUAUAACCAACAGUUUUGGCUGCAUAACAUGAUAUUUCGGGAAGCGUUGUUGACCAACUAAAAUCUAACAUGGAAACGUUACAAGCAGAGAUCAAGGCCCAGAUGGUUAGAGUUGAUAAUCCCUUAUUUCUGGUCAUUCUGGAUCUCAUUUACAUCUGAAGGGUUUAUAUAACAUGCGCAUAUAUAUAGAUAGAUAGAUCUAUAUAGAAUACAUUUUAAUGCAGUUAUGCUUUGAGUGUUAAGAGAAUGCCUAGAAUGGUGCGGUGGCUGACAGAAAAUUGUUAAGUGACUUACAGAAUGGGGAAGGAUAUCCUUACAAGUACGAGGGAUUGUAUAUAAGGAUGUACAUGGAGAAGUUUAGGCCAUAUGUCCCCUUCUCCCUACUCUUUGUACUUGUUUUAUCAAAAAUAGUAUUAAUGAGAAUUUUCUUUGUUAACAA